AAAAAAAUCCAAAAAUUAGCCAGGCAUGGUGGCAUGCACCUGUGCUCCCAGCUACUCAGAAGGCUGAGGCAGGAGAUCGCUUAAACCCAGGAGGCUGAGGCUGUAGUGAGCCAUCAUUGUGCCACUGCUCACCAGCUUGGAUGACAGAGGGAGACCCUGUUUCAAAAAAAUAAAAAGAGUGAAUUUUAUGUGAAUUAUAUCUCAAUAAAAAUAGAAUGAGUCACAAUUGUCCAGAGACGGCUCUAACUGGGACCCCAGACUUUCUGACCCUUCCAUUGUCCACCACCUCGUGAGAUCUCAGUUUGAGGUAGGAAGAAUUCUCUCUGGAGUAUGAGCAAUGUGAACAAUUUUCAUUUUCUGAGUUUUUAAAAAUUCCCUGGACUUCUUGUAAUAAAAAUAUUUUAAAAAGAAAAAUUGUUGGAAGAGUCCCCAGAGUCCCAGCAAGGGACUCCAAGAGAGGUGUUGCUCACACCAGAGUUACAUAGCAGUGCCCUGCACUGAGGUUUUCUCUAGUUUGGCAAAAAUAAUAAUGAGUUAUACAGAUAUAUAUACAUGCUGGUGGAAGUUUGUCAAUUGUCCUUUCUCGGGAAGGUCUUUCACCUAUUAUAAGUUCUUGUCUAUUUACGUUAAGAGUAUGAAAAUGGGCUUAGUUUUUUUGGCAGUGGUAGCUGGAAUUACCUUCAUUGGAAAAACUGAAAGCUGGAAACUAUAAAUAUCCUCAAAAUUUGGUAGAGAAAAGAGAUUUCUGGUCUUUGAAAUCCAGAUGCCUAGGUGGAUUCAAGAACACAGAGAAGGCUGGGUGUGGUGGCUCACCCCUGUAAUCCCAGCACUCUGGGGGGCCAAAAUGAGAGGUUCACUUGGGCCCAGGAAUUCAAGACCAACCUGGGCAAUGUGGUGAGAUCUGUCUCUACAAAAAAUAAUAAAAUUAGAUGGGCAUGGUGGCAUACACUUGUGCUCUCAGCUACUGUGGAGGCUGAGGUGGGAGGAUUGCUUGAGCUAGGGAAGUCAAGGCUGCAGUGAGCCAUGUUCCCGCCAUUGCACUCAGUGUGGGUGACAGAGACCUGUCUCCAGAAGAAAAAAGAACAGAGAAGAAAUUCUCUAGAGUUGAGUCAGAGUGGCUGAGAGGUGAGAAGACUGGACCACCCAGGCCAAUACUAGCUAGAAUCAGAAGGGCAGAGGUUAGCACAGUACGAACAAAAAUGGUGAACAAAAAUGGCCCAGAUUCUUAUUCAGAAACCAAUUCACAUUUUAAAAAUAUAUACUGUACACUACCCCAUCCUCUUCCUAAUAGCUAAAGUGAUCUACCCUAAAACACCAAGCAAUCCUUCUUACAGUUUGUUCCCUCCUGACAGUUCAUUGAUUACAAUGUGAAAGCACCAACCUGAGCUAAAAUGAAAUGAGAAGCCUGAUGUUUCAGGCACCAAGUACUUUAAAAAUGUCUACUGGCUGUCCUGCAGCAUUUUACUUAAUCAUUUUUUAGAGGAGGGAUGAGGACUGGUUGGGUAAAGGAAAUCAUCAAAUGGAGCCUUAAAUAACUGAUUACAAAAGCUUUUUGUAAAAUCACACAAAUAUUUCAAGAAUAAAUGCAUUCCAGAGAUACAAAUCAGGC
rnacentral:lncRNA from 10 species